AUUGAACGCUGGCGGCAGGCUUAACACAUGCAAGUCGAGCGGAGAGAGGUAGCUUGCUACUGAUCUUAGCGGCGGACGGGUGAGUAAUGCUUAGGAAUCUGCCUAUUAGUGGGGGACAAGAUUGCGAAAGGAAUGCUAAUACCGCAUACGUCAUACGGGAGAAAGCAGGGGAUCUUCGGACCUUGCGCUAAUAGCUGAGCCUAAGUCGGAUUAGAUAGUUGGUGGGGUAAAGGCCUACCAAGGCGACGAUCUGUAGCGGGUCUGAGAGGAUGAUCCGCCACACUGGGACUGAGACACGGCCCAGACUCCUACGGGAGGCAGCAGUGGGGAAUAUUGGACAAUGGGCGGAAGCCUGAUCCAGCCAUGCCGCGUGUGUGAAGAAGGCCUUAUGGUUGUAAAGCACCUUAAGCGAGGAGGAGGCUACUUUAGUUAAUACCUAGAGAUAGUGGACGGUACUCGCAGAAUAAGCACCGGCUAACUCUGUGCCAGCCGCCGCAGUAA
rnacentral:rRNA from 1 species